CGUACGAAGCAGGCUGCUCGCAAAUCCACCGGCGGCAAGGCACCGAGGAUGCAGCUCGCCACCAAGGCAGCUCCGGCGACCGGCGGAGUGAAGAAGCCCCAUCGCUACCGUCCCGAAACCGUCGCGCUCUGUGAGAUCCGCAAGUACCAGAAGAGCACGGAGCUUCUGAUCCGCAAGCUUCCUUUCCAGCGCCUGGUUCGGGAAUCCUAUAUCCGGCCCGAUUUCAUCUGUCCUUCUUUGGAUCUGGUGGCUGCCUGAUGAUGCAAGCAUCUUCUUCAGUCUGGCUUCGACGUCUCUGGCGCUGACUUCUCGUGGUCGGAAAUUCAGAGCAAGCAUCCGAAUCUUCUGAUUUUGGGAACAUCGACGACUGGGUUUUGCUCCUCACAUCAUCUACAUCAGUAUCUUCAGUGGAUUUGGUAACCUCUUCCCAUCUUGGCAUCUCUACUUCUUGAAUCAUGCGAUUAUGUCUCUGAUUUCAUUUGUCAUGCCACUCUCAUCAGUUUACCAUUUUUAUUUUUGUUAUCAAGUUUGUUUGCCGUCACCCGAAGAAGAAGGGGACGAAGCAUUUUUUAAAAUUUUCAAGUCUUGUUUUUGGUCUGGUGAGAUUGGUUUGAUAAGUCAGAUUAUGGAUGGGUUGUGUGAUUCAAGUGAGCAGUUUGUGACUAAAUUUGGUGGAGUUGUUAUGGGGUUCUCUGAUAUUAUUGUUGUGUUGUUGUUGCAAUGGAUGAUUUGAGUUGAUAUUUCUAUGCAAAUCUGCAACUUUCGGCCUUGAUUGAUCAUGUUUGGGAAAAUAUAUAUAUAUAUAUAUAUAUAUAGAAGCUUUGAAUAUCAAUGUUGGUAAUUUGGGCAGCAAGUUUCUUUGGAGGAUGAGAAUAGAAGUUGAGAGUUGAGUUGAUGGGAAGUUUGGAUUCAAAGUUUAUGCAGGAGUUUGUGGAUGGCUUGAGAGCAUAUUUCUUUGAUUUUUCAGAUAUUUAGAGUUCUAGUGUUCAGCAAGUAUGCAAUGUUAUGUCAGCAAUAUGCAAUUUUCAGUUUCAUGAUGCACUGGUAUUAAGAUUCUGCUGCCUCAAUGCUAUGCCCUUAAUUUGCUGCGUCCAUCACAGUCUUGCCCUCAUGUUUUAGGAGAAGCUCUCGUUGCUAUAAGGAUGUUGGGAUAUUGAAUUGGGAUGUUAUCUUUGUAAUUGUUUUCUUCAUGUAAAAUUGGCUACGAUUGUGUUACUUGAGUAGUUUGUACCAACCAUAAUGCUUGAGUAGCAUAUGGUUGAGGAGGGGUAUUAAGAGUGUAAUAGGUUUUAGAAUUGUGUAAGGGCACUAUAGUCUUUCUACUUCAGAGCCCUAUCUAGGCCUAUAUAUACAUCUUGUAACCUCAUUCUUCAUCAAUGAAAUAUACACAAUGUAGCCUCCAAGUGCUUGUUGCUCUCCUUUAUAUUUUCUGUCUUUAUUUUUCAAUAAAUC
rnacentral:lncRNA from 1 species